CCUACGUGAGGCAGCAGUGAGGAAUAUUGGUCAAUGGACGAGAGUCUGAACCAGCCAAGUAGCGUGAAGGAUGACUGCCCUAUGGGUUGUACACUUCUUUUAUAUGGGAAUAAAAUGUUCCACGUGUGGGCUUUUGUAUGUACCAUAUGAAUAAGGAUCGGCUAACUCCGUGCCAGCCGCAGCGGUAAUACGGAGGAUCCGAGCGUUAUCCGGAUUUAUUGUGUUUAAAGGGAGCGUAGGUGGAUUGUUAAGUCAGUUGUGAAAGUUUGCGGCUCAACCGUAAAAUUGCAGUUGAAACUGGCAGUCGUGAGUACAGUAGAGGUGGGCGGAAUGCGUGGUGGAGCGGGGAAAUGCUUAGAUAACACGAAGAACUCCGAUUGCGAAGGCAGUUCACUGGACUGCAACUGACACUGAGGCUCGAAAGUGUGGGUAUCAAACAGGAUGAGAUACCCGUGUAGUC
rnacentral:rRNA from 1 species